rnacentral:rRNA from 1 species
UACGUAGGGGGCUAGCGUUGUCCGGAAUUACUGGGCGUAAAGCGCACGUAGGCGGCUCUUUAAGUCGGGGGUGAAAUCCUGGAGCUCAACUCCAGAACUGCCUUCGAUACUGUAGAGCUUGAGUUCGGGAGAGGUGAGUGGAACUGCGAGUGUAGAGGUGAAAUUCGUAGAUAUUCGCAAGAACACCAGUGGCGAAGGCGGCUCACUGGCCCGAUACUGACGCUGAGGUGCGAAAGCGUGGGGAGCAAACAGG